AUGCAAGUAGAACGCUGAAGGAGGAGCUUGCUCUCUCCGGAUGAGUUGCGAACGGGUGAGUAACGCGUAGGUAACCUGCCUGGUAGCGGGGGAUAACUAUUGGAAACGAUAGCUAAUACCGCAUAACAGUAGAUGUUGCAUGACAUUUGCUUAAAAGGUGCAAUUGCAUCACUACCAGAUGGACCUGCGUUGUAUUAGCUAGUUGGUGGGGUAACGGCUCACCAAGGCGACGAUACAUAGCCGACCUGAGAGGGUGAUCGGCCACACUGGGACUGAGACACGGCCCAAACUCCUACGGGAGGCAGCAGUAGGGAAUCUUCGGCAAUGGACGGAAGUCUGACCGAGCAACGCCGCGUGAGUGAAGAAGGUUUUCGGAUCGUAAAGCUCUGUUGUAAGAGAAGAACGAGUGUGUGAGUGGAAAGUUCACACUGUGACGGUAUCUUACCAGAAAGGGACGGCUAACUACGUGCCAGCAGCCGCGGUAAUACGUAGGUCCCGAGCGUUGUCCGGAUUUAUUGGGCGUAAAGCGAGCGCAGGCGGUUAGAUAAGUCUGAAGUUAAAGGCUGUGGCUUAACCAUAGUACGCUUUGGAAACUGUUUAACUUGAGUGCAAGAGGGGAGAGUGGAAUUCCAUGUGUAGCGGUGAAAUGCGUAGAUAUAUGGAGGAACACCGGUGGCGAAAGCGGCUCUCUGGCUUGUAACUGACGCUGAGGCUCGAAAGCGUGGGGAGCAAACAGGAUUAGAUACCCUGGUAGUCCACGCCGUAAACGAUGAGUGCUAGGUGUUAGACCCUUUCCGGGGUUUAGUGCCGUAGCUAACGCAUUAAGCACUCCGCCUGGGGAGUACGACCGCAAGGUUGAAACUCAAAGGAAUUGACGGGGGCCCGCACAAGCGG
rnacentral:rRNA from 1 species